GCCAUUAUGGUAUAUUGGUUUGUGUGCUGGACUAUGAUUCUGGAGAUCAGGGUUCAAAUCCCUGCCAAGCCA